rnacentral:misc_RNA from 1 species
GAUGAAGAACGCAGCGAAAUGCGAUACGUAAUGUGAAUUGCAGAAUUCAGUGAAUCAUCGAAUCUUUGAACGCAUAUUGCGCUCUUUGGUAUUCCGAAGAGCAUGCUUGUUUGAGUAUCAGUAAACACCUCAACCUCUUCUUGAUUUUUCAAAAGGAGGGUGGACUUGAGCUAUCCCAACAACCUUUACCGGUCGGCGGGCGGCUUGAAAUGCAGGUGCAGCUGGACUUUUAUCUGAGCUAAAAGCAUAUCUAUUUAGUCCUCGUCAAACAGGAUUAUUACUUUUGCUGCAGCUAACAUAAAGGAUAAUUGUCCUCUUUGCUGACUGAUGCAGGAUUUACGACACUUUAUGUGUUGUUCAACUCGAUCUCAAAUCAAGUAAGACUACCCGCUGAACUUAAGCAUAUCAAUAAGCGGAGGA